rnacentral:rRNA from 1 species
GUGAGGAAUAUUGGACAAUGGGCGCAAGCCUGAUCCAGCCAUGCCGCGUGCAGGAAGACGCAUCUAUGGUGUGUAAACUGCUUUUGUACGGGAAGAAACACUCCCUCGUGAGGGAGCUUGACGGUACCGUAAGAAUAAGGAUCGGCUAACUCCGUGCCAGCAGCCGCGGUAAUACGGAGGAUCCAAGCGUUAUCCGGAAUCAUUGGGUUUAAAGGGUCCGUAGGCGGUUUAAUAAGUCAGUGGUGAAAGCCCAUCGCUCAACGAUGGAACGGCCAUUGAUACUGUUAGACUUGAAUUACAAGGAAGUAACUAGAAUAUGUAGUGUAGCGGUGAAAUGCUUAGAUAUUACAUGGAAUACCACUUGCGAAGGCAGGUUACUACUUGUGGAUUGACGCUGAUGGACGAAAGCGUGGGGAGCGAACAGGAUUAGAAACCCCAGUAGUCC